GUUAAGCGACUAAGCGUACACGGUGGAUGCCCUGGCAGUCAGAGGCGAUGAAGGGCGUGCUAAUCUGCGAUAAGCGCCGGUAAGGUGAUAUGAACCGUUAUAACCGGCGAUACCCGAAUGGGGAAACCCAGUGUGAUUCGUCACACUAUCAUUAACUGAAUCCAUAGGUUAAUGAGGCGAACCGGGGGAACUGAAACAUCUAAGUACCCCGAGGAAAAGAAAUCAACCGAGAUUCCCCCAGUAGCGGCGAGCGAACGGGGAGGAGCCCAGAGCCUGAAUCAGCAUGUGUGUUAGUGGAAGCGUCUGGAAAGGCGCGCGAUACAGGGUGACAGCCCCGUACACAAAAGCGCAUGUGCUGUGAGCUCGAUGAGUAGGGCGGGACACGUGGUAUCCUGUCUGAAUAUGGGGGGACCAUCCUCCAAGGCUAAAUACUCCUGACUGACCGAUAGUGAACCAGUACCGUGAGGGAAAGGCGAAAAGAACCCCGGCGAGGGGAGUGAAAAAGAACCUGAAACCGUGUACGUACAAGCAGUGGGAGCACAGGUUUACCUGUGUGACUGCGUACCUUUUGUAUAAUGGGUCAGCGACUUAUAUUCUGUAGCAAGGUUAACCGUAUAGGGGAGCCGGAGGGAAACCGAGUCUUAACCGGGCGUUAAGUUGCAGGGUAUAGACCCGAAACCCGGUGAUCUAGCCAUGGGCAGGUUGAAGGUUGGGUAACACUAACUGGAGGACCGAACCGACUAAUGUUGAAAAAUUAGCGGAUGACCUGUGGCUGGGGGUGAAAGGCCAAUCAAACCGGGAGAUAGCUGGUUCUCCCCGAAAGCUAUUUAGGUAGCGCCUCGUGAACUCAUCUCCGGGGGUAGAGCACUGUUUCGGCUAGGGGGCCAUCCCGGCUUACCAACCCGAUGCAAACUGCGAAUACCGGAGAAUGUUAUCACGGGAGACACACGGCGGGUGCUAACGUCCGUCGUGAAGAGGGAAACAACCCAGACCGCCAGCUAAGGUCCCAAAGUCAUGGUUAAGUGGGAAACGAUGUGGGAAGGCCCAGACAGCCAGGAUGUUGGCUUAGAAGCAGCCAUCAUUUAAAGAAAGCGUAAUAGCUCACUGGUCGAGUCGGCCUGCGCGGAAGAUGUAACGGGGCUAAACCAUG
rnacentral:rRNA from 1 species